rnacentral:rRNA from 1 species
GACGAACGCUGGCGGCGUGCUUAACACAUGCAAGUGGUGCGACGAACCAGGGCUUGCCCUGGGGCAAAGCCGCGAACGGGUGAGUAACACGUGAGCAACCUGCCCCGAUGACCGGGACAACCCGAGGAAACUCGGGCUAAUACCGGAUGUGGCGCACAGGCAUCAGCCUGUUCGCUAAAGGAAGCUUCGGCCUCCGCAUUGGGAGGGGCUCGCGGCCCAUUAGCUUGUUGGUGGGGAACGGCCUACCAAGGCAACGAUGGGUAGCUGGUCUGAGAGGACGAUCAGCCACACUGGGACUGAGACACGGCCCAGACUCCUACGGGAGCAGCAGUGGGGAAUCUUGCGCAAUGCGCGAAAGCGUGACGCAGCAACGCCGCGUGGGGGAAGAAUGCCUUCGGGUUCGUAAACCCC